GACGAAGGAUCCAAGCGUUAUCCGGAUUUAUUGGGCUUAAAGGGCGCGUAGGCGGAUUGAUAAGUCAGUGGUGAAAGCCUGUUGCUUAACAGCAGAACUGCCAUUGAUACUGUCAAUCUUGAAUAUGUUUGAUGUGGGCGGAAUAUGACAUGUAGCGGUGAAAUGCUUAGAUAUGUCAUAGAACACCGAUUGCGAAGGCGGCUCACAAGGCCAUUAUUGACGCUGAGGCACGAAAGCGUGGGGAGCAAACAGG
rnacentral:rRNA from 1 species